rnacentral:lncRNA from 1 species
GGGCCUUGGACAGGGCUGGAGAGAACAGCACUAGAGAAAGAGAGAGAGAGGGGGGGGAGCAAAGAAAAAAUCCUACACAGUCCAGUCUGGGGAGGUUUGUGUGUUGCCCUUUUGUAAUUACGUCGUGUCCUGAGCUCCCCCCACCCCCCUCACCCCCCAUCACACAGCCCCCCUCCCUCCCUUGUUCUUCCCCCUCCCUCUUUCCCUCACAUCCCUUGUAGACAGCAAUUAGGCAUUGAGGAUAAAACACACAGCCCGAGAGAGGGCUGAGGCUUUCCUCACAGAGAUGGCGAGUCGGACAGCUCUUUCCCUCCGGCCAGGAGUCUUCCUCCUCCUCCUCUCCAUCCUUCACCCCACGAGGCAAGGAGGAGCUGGUGGUCUUGGAGGCCUUGGAGGUGGAGGCCUUGGACCUGGAGGCCUUGGAGCUGGGGGACUAGGAGGAGCAGGGCUUGGGGCAGGAGGCAAACCACCCAAACCAGGUAAGGCAUCUUCUCUCCUUCUCUGAUCGCCAUCUUUGACUGCCUCCAAGGACCAAAGAUGGGUUGGGUUGAGGGGGACCAGCAGUCAAGGGAUGAGGGACGUAAGGUUUGGGAGGAAGCAAAAGUGCAAAAGGGAAAUUGGAGCAGUCUGGGGAUUCCUCAAGAGGGGGACAAUGCAUAUCUCCCCAGCUUGGCUAGAAAGCUCCCAUGCUGGGCUCCUUAAAGGCUGUGAGGACGAAAUAGACAGAUGAGCAGCCCUGGAGGGUACCACGAGGAUGGAGAAGCAUCCUUUACUUUAGGAAAAUGAGGCCUGUGGACAUUCCCUGCAGAUUGAAGUCAUUCCUGGCCUAGAAUCUUUGAUGAAAGGGUCACAAUUAGCUGGUACUUUGUGCAUUACACAGCAGACAUUUAGGAGGAAAGGGACUUCAGGAGCUACUGAAUGCACAAACUCAUUUUACAGAUGGAGAAACUGAGGCCCACAAACUUACUCAAGGUCACACAGCAUUAAAGAAGUACCUGGAUCUAAACGUAGAUCCUCUGACCCCAAGUUUAGCACUUUCAAUUGCAGCAUAUGACCAAAACAGCGACAAUAGCAAUAGCAUUUGUGGGGCACUUUAAGAUUUGUGAAAUGUUUCAUAUUUAUGAGAUGAUUUUACCCUCACAGAUCCUCGCAGGUCGGCGCCCCCUGAGAAAACAACUAAAUUUCGUGUCUCCCUCAAUAGUACGGGCAUAAUAAUGGUUCCUACCUGCCAGGAUAGUGAGGAUAAAAUCAUC